rnacentral:rRNA from 1 species
UACAGGGGGUGCAAACGUUGCUCGGAAUUAUUGGGCGUAAAGCGCGCGUAGGCGGCUACCUAAGUCGGAUGUGAAAGCCCCUGGCUUAACUGGGGAAGUGCACCCGAAACUGGGUAGCUAGAGUGCAAAAGAGGGUCGCGGAAUUCCCGGUGUAGAGGUGAAAUUCGUAGAUAUGUGGAGGAACACCGAUGGCGAAGGCAGCCCCCUGGGUUAACACUGACGCUCAUGCACGAAAGCGUGGGGAGCAAACAGG